rnacentral:rRNA from 1 species
AGUGAACGCUGGCGGUAGGCCUAACACAUGCAAGUCGAACGGCAGCACAGUAAGAGCUUGCUCUUACGGGUGGCGAGUGGCGGACGGGUGAGGAAUACAUCGGAAUCUACUUUUUCGUGGGGGAUAACGUAGGGAAACUUACGCUAAUACCGCAUACGACCUACGGGUGAAAGCAGGGGAUCUUCGGACCUUGCGCGAUUGAAUGAGCCGAUGUCGGAUUAGCUAGUUGGCGGGGUAAAGGCCCACCAAGGCGACGAUCCGUAGCUGGUCUGAGAGGAUGAUCAGCCACACCGGAACUGAGGCAAGGGCCAGACUCCUAAGGGAGGGAGCAGUGGGGAAUAUUGGACAAUGGGCGCAAGCCUGAACCAGCCAUACCGCGUGGGUGAAGAAGGCCUUCGGGUUGUAAAGCCCUUUUGUUGGGAAAGAAAAGCAGCAGGUUAAUACCCCGCUGUUCUGACGGUACCCAAAGAAUAAGCACCGGCUAACUUCGUG